rnacentral:lncRNA from 1 species
GGCGUCUUUAAACCUCCAGCGGCGGCCGGGGCUGGGGAUUUCCAGCAGACCUCACCUCCACUCCGGAGUCGGGCGCCACCCUCCCCCAGCCUAGGCGGGCGCCCCCAUGGCUUUGCUGGAACCAACAGGCCACGCGGCUCGUUCCUUGCACACCAAGGAAAGCCUGGAGUUCAGAGUUCCAGUUCCCAAGGGCUGUCUGCUAAGAAACAAAUACUCCAGGAAGAAAAGCACUCUGGCAGGUUCCCCAAUGCUGGGUCCCACUGAGGGUGGAUUAUGGCAUUUCAGAGGCUUCCUGACACUGAAUCAGCUCUCUGGACUCUGCUGA